AUACGGAGGUUGCAAGCGUUAAUCGGAAUUACUGGGCGUAAAGCGCGCGUAGGCGGAUUGUUAAGUCUCAUGUGAAAGCCCUGGGCUCAACCUGGGAACUGCAUGGGAUACUGGCAAUCUAGAAUACAGUAGAGGGUAGUGGAAUUUCAGGUGUAGCGGUGAAAUGCGUAGAGAUCUGAAGGAACAUCAGUGGCGAAGGCGACUACCUGGACUGAUAUUGACGCUGAGGUGCGAAAGCGUGGGGAGCAAACGGAAUUAGAUACCCUUGUAGUCC
rnacentral:rRNA from 1 species